rnacentral:rRNA from 1 species
GAUGAACGCUGGCGGCGUGCCUAAUACAUGCAAGUCGAGCGAACAGACGAGGAGCUUGCUCCUCUGACGUUAGCGGCGGACGGGUGAGUAACACGUGUAUAACCUACCUAUAAGACUGGGAUAACUUCGGGAAACCGGAGCUAAUACCGGAUAAUAUAUUGAACCGCAUGGUUCAAUAGUGAAAGACGGUUUUGCUGUCACUUAUAGAUGGAUCCGCGCCGCAUUAGCUAGUUGGUAAGGUAACGGCUUACCAAGGCAACGAUGCGUAGACGACCUGAGAGGGUGAUCGGCCACACUGGAACUGAGACACGGUCCAGACUCCUACGGGAGGCAGCAGUAGGGAAUCUUCCGCAAUGGGCGAAAGCCUGACGGAGCAACGCCGCGUGAGUGAUGAAGGUCUUCGGAUCGUAAAACUCUGUUAUUAGGGAAGAACAAAUGUGUAAGUAACUAUGCACGUCUUGACGGUACCUAAUCAGAAAGCCACGGCUAACUACGUG